AGUGAACGCUGGCGGUAGGCCUAACACAUGCAAGUCGAACGGCAGCACAGUAAGAGCUUGCUCUUACGGGUGGCGAGUGGCGGACGGGUGAGGAAUACAUCGGAAUCUACUUUUUCGUGGGGGAUAACGUAGGGAAACUUACGCUAAUACCGCAUACGACCUACGGGUGAAAGCAGGGGAUCUUCGGACCUUGCGCGAUUGAAUGAGCCGAUGUCGGAUUAGCUAGUUGGCGGGGUAAAGGCCCACCAAGGCGACGAUCCGUAGCUGGUCUGAGAGGAUGAGCAGACACACUGGAACUGAGACACGGUCCAGACUCGUAUGGGAGGCAGCAGUGGGGAAUAUUGGACAAUGCGAGGAAGGCUGAUCUAGCCAAACCGCGUGGGUGAAGAAGGCAUUCGGGUUGUAAAGCCAUUCUGUUGGGAAAGAAAAGCAGCAGGUUAAUCCCGCGAUGUUCUGACGGUACCCAAAGAAUAAGCACCGGCUAACUUCGUG
rnacentral:rRNA from 1 species